rnacentral:rRNA from 1 species
AUCGAUGAAGAACGCAGCGAAAUGCGAUAAGUAAUGUGAAUUGCAGAAUUCAGUGAAUCAUCGAAUCUUUGAACGCACAUUGCGCCCGCUAGUAUUCUGGCGGGCAUGCCUGUUCGAGCGUCAUUUCAACCAUCAAGCCCUAGGCUUGUGUUGGGGCCCUGCGGCCGUCCGCAGCCCCCUAAAAACAGUGGCGGGCUCGCUAUAUACCGAGUGCAGUAGUUUACUCUUCGCUCAGGACAUGUAGUGGGUUCUUGCCGUAAAACCCCCCAUUUUUUAAGGUUGACCUCGGAUCAGGUAGGAAUACCCGCUGAACUUAAGCAUAUCAAUAAGCGGAGGAAAAGAAACCAACAGGGAUYGCCCCAGUAACGGCGAGUGAAGCGRCAACAGCUCAAAUUYGAAAUCUGGCUCCGGCCCGAGUUGUAAUUUGCAGAGGAAGCUUCUGGUGAUAUACUGUCUAAGUCCCCUGGAACGGGGCGCCACAGUGGGUGAGAGCCCCAUAUGACAGAUGUAGAUCCUGUGUGAAGCUCCUUCGACGAGUCGAGUAGUUUGGGAAUGCUGCUCUAAAUGGGAGGUAAAUUCCUUCUAAAGCUAAAUAUUGGCCAGAGACCGAUAGCGCACAAGUAGAGUGAUCGAAAGAUGAAAAGCACUUUGAAAAGAGGGUUAAACAGCACGUGAAAUUGUUGAAAGGGAAGCGCUUAUGACCAGACUUGCGCUGGGCUGAUCAUCCGGUGUUCUCACCGGUGCACUCGGCCCAGCUCAGGCCAGCAUCGGUUUUGGCGGGGGGAUAAAGGCGUUGGGAACGUAGCUCCUUAGGGAGUGUUAUAGCCCAGCGUGCAAUACCCCCGCUGGGACCGAGGUUCGCGCAUCUGCAAGGAUGCUGGCGUAAUGGUCAUCAGCGACCCGUCUUGAAACACGG